rnacentral:rRNA from 1 species
GACAGAGGGUGCAAACGUUGUUCGGAAUUACUGGGCGUAAAGCGUGUGUAGGCGGCUAAGUAAGUCGGGCGUGAAAUCCCACGGCUCAACCGUGGAAGUGCACUCGAAACUGCGUAGCUAGAGUCCUGGAGAGGAAGGUGGAAUGCUUGGUGUAGCGGUGAAAUGCGUAGAUAUCAGGAGGAACACCGGUGGUGUAAACGGCUUUCUGGACCAUAACUGACGCUGAGGCACGAAAGCGUGGGUAGCAAACAGG